GAUUAUCUAAGGUGAUAGCUAUGUUAGUUUUCUUUAUUCAGUCAUUAUGAAAUGUGAGUGCAUUAAAUACAUAAGUGCAUAAAUAUAUUCAAUCAUUAGUCAAAUAAAACUAUAAAGAAAGCAUUAUAUUUGCUACCAAUCUCUAACCUAGUAUUUAAAAUCUUCAUAUGGCCUCCUUUUAGGAUUAAGCUAUCUGAAAUUUACAGUAUGAUAGCCUAGAAAGUCAAUGAUACAUCUCUUACACAGGUCAUUAUAUGGGUAAAACAAAUGUAUUUCAGCCAUAAUGUUGUUAGCACGUUUCCUAAGUUGCUUUACUCCUGAAGUCAUUUAUAUGCACCAUGAAUGGAUUCAUUGCACAUAAAAAGGUUCAUGAUGGAGAACCUAAGUAAAAGCUGAAAUUUGGUGAAAGUAAUCUACUUAGCAGUAAAAAAAUGAUUCUUUAAGGUUAUUUAAAAAUUACAUCACCUAAAUAAAGUGUAUUAGUCAAUAUUGCCACAUGCAAAAUGGUUUUUUUUUGUCAUCUUAAUGUUCAAAACAACCAGGACACAUCUUUCAAAAUUCACAUUAAAGUUGACUGUUAAUUCAAGGGUGGCUAAGGGAGAAAUAAGAUAGUAGAAAAUUAUGUUAGAUGAAACAUAGAUUAUGGAAUGUUAUUGAAAGUUAAAUCUCCCUACAAUGCUAAUUUGUAGUUAAGAAACAUGAUAGAGAAGAUGCAAAAUAAACUAGAAGGGAAAACUAAGAUCUUAACCUGUAAGGUGUGUUUGUGACACUUACAUUGAUCAUUUCAAUGAUGAAAUGUUUCUGGAGAGUCAUGUCCUUUGAGCCAUAAAAUACUUUUGAGCUGAGGAGAGGUCUCAGUGGGUAACACACUUGCUGUACAACUUUAAGGUCUUGAGAUUUAGUCCCCCAAACCACAUGAAGACAGACAUAUUAGUACCUGAAGGAAAAUGGGAGGAAUCCCAGGAGGUUCAUCUGCUAACUAGCCCUGAACUAUUCUAUAGCAAACAAAAGACCCUGCUAACAAAGGUAGAAAGAUAGGGCUGACACCAGAAGGUGUUCCACGCUGUGCCACAUAGCAUAUGAGCCUCUAUACACACAGGCACACACAGAUAUAUAUGACAGUUGUUUCUACUACAGCAAAAAUAAUGACUCCUUAGAUGUAGUGCUAUUUCCUCAAUAUAGAAUAUAUCUAACAUUUAUCUUUCAGUUGAUGCAGUAUGUGCUUUGAUCAAACCAGCAAGGAAAGUCCUUCUGUGAUCCCAUGUAUAUGUCUAUACAGAAUCUUUGCCCAGAGAUUUGUUUUGUUUUGUUUUGUUUUCGAGACAGUGUUUCUCUGUAUAACCCUGGUCUACACAUUGGGUUCCAGGACAACCAGGGCUGUUGCAUAGAGAAACUCUAUUUCAAAAAACAGAAAGAAAAAUUAAUUAGCGGGCUUGGGGAGUGACUUAAAAACAAAUUUGAUAAACACUUAAUACUCUUAUCCUGUAAAGUUUUAGUUAUCCAGGCAAGACGUGUGAGAAAGUUUGUGAUGAACAAGGUGAAAUAUCUCCUUCCACUUUCUAUGACAGGUCCUUCCGGGUCACACAUGCAUAGCUUUGGAAAAGAGUUGCAAACUGGAAACAAAUUCAGUCAUCUGUGCUAAACCCUCUAUAUCACAGGUUUUUGCUUAACUUUCAUGCUCAAAUACCUUAAUUUAGGUGACAUUCUUACCAAAAACAUGCUUGGAUUAUCAUUAAUUUCUAGAACCAGAUUCAAUUUCCAAUACCUAGUGAUUUGUAUGAGUUCUCGAUCUAUUAAUCUUGUUUUGAAGAGCUAAGAAUCUAUUUGUCUCUCCCAAAAGAUUUCACUUUUCUUCUCUCUCCCACUUACACAAAUAACAUACUAUAAAUACUAAACUUUGUUCUGUCUUUCUCCUGUGCAUAUUAGAGGUUAUUUGUUUGUUUUUAUUUUUUACUAUGUUGACAUAUGGAUGUAACUAUUUUAAAAAAUAUGUAAUAUUCUAUUUAAUGUCUGUAUUAUUAUCUACUUAAAUAAGCUUCCCCAUUAAAGGAUAGUUUAUUGUUGACUUUGAAAUCCCUUGAUUAGGGGAGCUAUUGUACUUACAGUUUAGUAAUGAGAGGAUUAAGGCCUUCAUAGUAAUUUUCCUUACCUUUAAAAUGUAGUAUGCAUUUAUAUUUGUUUGAGUUGUUUUGUAUAUAUUUUUUAAGUAUUUGAAAAAUAUUUCUUCUUAUGUCUUGGACAGUCCUCCUUAAGUGUGCUUUCCAAUACAAUGAUAAAAGAGAAAAAAAAUAUUUGCUAGCUGUGUUAACCUUAUUUCUAACUCCAGG
rnacentral:lncRNA from 1 species